rnacentral:rRNA from 1 species
AGGGAAUCUUCCACAAUGGACGGAAGUCUGAUGGAGCAACGCCGCGUGAGUGAUGAAGGUCUUCGGAUUGUAAAGCACUUUAAGUUGGGAGGAAGGGCUGCAAGUUAAUACCUUGUAGUUUUGACGUUACCAACAGAAUAAGCACCGGCUAACUUCGUGCCAGCAGCCGCGGUAAUACGAAGGGUGCAAGCGUUAAUCGGAAUUACUGGGCGUAAAGCGCGCGUAGGUGGUUUGGUAAGAUGGAUGUGAAAUCCCCGGGCUCAACCUGGGAACUGCAUCCAUAACUGCCUGACUAGAGUACGGUAGAGGGUGGUGGAAUUUCCUGUGUAGCGGUGAAAUGCGUAGAUAUAGGAAGGAACACCAGUGGCGAAGGCGACCACCUGGACUGAUACUGACACUGAGGUGCGAAAGCGUGGGGAGCAAACA